AGGGGCAUGGGGGGGCGGGCCGGGGCUCGGGCCGCGGCGCGUGCGUGGAGGGACGUGAGGGGGGGGGCGUGUGGGGCGGGCCGGGGCCGCGGCGCGAGCGUGAGGGGACGCGGGCUUGAGGGGACGCUGGGUGGGCGUGUGUGGGACGGGUCGGGGCCGCGGCGCGUGCGUGAGGGGCCGCGGGCGGGCCGGCCGGGGGUGAGGAGGCCCGGGCCGAGAGCAGGCCGCCGCCGGGACGGACCCUGCGCACGCCGGUGGCCGCGGCGCGCCUGCUCGCGGAGGCCCGGCUCGUCCUUGAUUUGCCGUUGCUGCUGCCAUUGUGACGGAUCCCCUCCCCCUGCGCGCCUGCUGGGUGCGCGCUUGCAGAGACAGCUCAAGUGUAAUGUGUUGUUGUUUUCCCUUGACACGAGCGUUGUCAAGCUAUCCCAUGAUCCGUAUCGUCUGGUACCUGGUUCGGUGCCACAGGUAAGGCCACCAGCGACUCACGUAGAGCCCGCCCAAAGUCUGGAGAAGGUGAAGCGUUUCGGUUUUGUCCCGCAGGGGCAGAGUAUAUUGUUGUUUACGAAACAGGAAAGGGAGGACGGGAUGCCCUCCAGAAGGCUCGCUGAGAAACGUGUCGGUGUGGCGAUGUGGGCUGGACUUAACUGUCUAGACAGCGAAACAGCACAACUCCUCCUCCGCCCUUUUUAAACCACCCCAGCACUACACUAACUUUCUCUCUGACCCAAGUCCUGUGUGUCAUCAGAACUGUCUCCUUCUUGCAAAGCCUCCUGCACAGUGACUUUCACACAUUCCUGCCUGUUCUCGAAGAUUGUUCCCUUGUUCUCUCAUUUCUUCUCUCAACACACGUUUCCUGAGCUCUUAGCAUGUGCCCGCCACAGGGCAGGGAUUUGAGAUUCAGAUAAAUCACAGAAGGAAGUCUGUUUUUCAGUAUUUCAUAUUAACAUUGUCUCCACAUUCCCCUUAGGACAAUACAGUAUUGACAUAGACAAAGCAAACCUCUGGAAAAGAGACUGCGAAAUUACUCUUAUUAAUUCAUUAACUGUACCCCCCCCCCACGUGGAAGAGAUUCAGUUAACAUCAAUGAGUUUUUAGUGAAGUGACUGGAAAGAAAAUAUGUAAGUGAACAGAUUGCGUUACUGUCCUCAGUAACAAGCUAACGCAUCUCUUUGUAGAAGAAACUCUACUGACCACAGUAAUAGAAUACCUAAUAUUAAUUUUAACUAGAAAUAUGCCUGAACUAUAUGAGAAAACUUUAAAACCUUACUAGGGGAUAGAAGAAGAAAGGAUGAAUUGGAAUGAGAACACUUCUGUUUUUGAUUAAAUUCAGUUGUCAAGGAAAUAUAAAUGGAUUUUUUUCAAGAACCCCCAUGCACUGUGUUGUUUAUGUCUUCAUCUUCUUAAUGUUAUGGAAGUGGUUUGUUGCUUUUCAUAAUUUGGUGAGAAAAUGUUUCUGUUAAAGAGAAAUACUAGAAAUGAUGGGUUUCCUUGCUUUACAGGACAUAAAUUCAAACAUUGAAGGCUUAGUAACAUAGUUUAAAAAACCUUUUACGUUUUAAGAAUUUUUAUUUUAAGGAGAAGGAAGUUCAUAUUAUAAUACCUCUGUUUUGCUUACAAUACUCUUUGACCAGCAGUACUCCUUCUCGCAUAUCUCCUAUCAGAGUUGUUGUCUCCUGUCACAUCAGCAUGUCUUCAUCUUCUGGCUACAAAGCAGGGUCAGGACUGGAUGUGGCAUAGGCUGUAUAUGUAUCUCUGAUACAGUACGAACACCCAAAGCAUCAUUUUUGCCUCUUUCACACAUUCUUACCUUUUCAUUGCUAUCUCAUUUUUAUCUUUUCUCAUAUUUCAUUAUGAAAACUUUUGAGCAUACAGCUCCAUUAAAAGAAUACUUGUAAACCCCUCGCCUAGACUCUGCCAUUAACAUUUUACUCUACUUAUUUUAACAUAGAUCUAUUUCUCCAUCAGACCAUCUUUUUUGUGUGUGUAUCGAGUAAAUUGCAUACAUCAAUAUACUUCUCCUAAAUACUUGAAAGUGUAUUUGUGUUAUUAACUAGAAUUCAGUAUUUGUUUAGCUUUUUCUUUUGAUGUAAAAUUUACAUAAAAUGAAAUGCACAAAGUGAAAGUAUACAUUUGCUGAGUUUUUGCAGAUGCAUGGUCUUUGCCUUUUGUAUCAUCAGUUAUGUCUUUGGCAUCUCUCCUGACCCCAGAGUUCUAACUCUGUGGCUGCUGGGCCCUUUUGCUAAUCAUUCCUUGCCCUCUGCACAUGCUAAAUACUAAUGAACUUACUAAAAAUCUAAAGGGAUCCUGUUCUCUUUUAUUAAGAAACAUAUACUCCAGGGGCGUCUGGAUGGCUCAGUCGGUUGAGCAUCCAACUCUCGAUUUCGGCUCAGGUCAUGACCUCAGGGUCCUGGAAUAUAGCCCCAAGUCAGGCUCUACACUCAGAGAGGAGUCUGCUUGAGACUCUCUCUCCCUCUUCCUGUGCCCCUCUCCUUGCUUCCUCGUUCUUUCUAAAAUAAAUAAACAAAUCUUAAAAAAAGAAAAGAAAAGAAGCAUAUUCUUCAUACGCCUGAAUGAAAUGUUGUCCCUGACAAGGUCUUGCCUGUCUCCGGGCACUGGUGCCUCAGUACUGGGUCUUUAAAUGGAGACUGGAGGGCAGACACCUUAGGAAACAGAUACAUUAUCUUUUUGGGUGUUCAUUAAGUAUUGGACAAAUGCCAGUGGAACAAAUACAAAGUUCAAAGCACUAUGCUAGUCUUUUUCUGAAAUUUAGAAUGAGAUUAUCCCAGUUCUCAAGUGGUUCCUUAUCUUACAAGGGAGGUGGACGAUAAGUAGUGUGAUGAAGUGCUAGAAGCAUGUACAAAGUGCUCCAUGAUUACUGCCCAGGGUACAGUUAUUCUCCCUGGGACAACAGGAAGGCUUGUUAGAAAAGGUGGCAUUUAAAUGAGGCCCAGAGAGCAUGGGGCGAGUACAGCAGGAAUUAAGGUUGAAAUGUUGUCAAGGCUAUGAAAGUAGAUGGUUCUGAAGCCUGUAUACUCAGUGACUUGGUCGGAGCCGUGCUGCAGAACCUCUUAUGCCCUGGAUAGUCUCUUUCAUAACCUCGUGGUUCAUACUGGAAGCUUCUUGCAGCCCAUCUCUGCCCUGGUGUUAGGCAGAAUAAUCACUCCCCCAAGAACCAGAACCUGUGGAUAUAUUACAAUAUUAUAUGGCAAAAGGGACAUUGCAGAUGUGAGUCAACCAAAGACCUUAAGAUGGGAGAUUACCCUGGAUUGUUUAGCUGGGCCCAGUAUAAUCACAGAGGUCCAUCAGAGUGGAAUAGGGAGGCAGAAGGUGAGCAUGGGGGGAGAGGUGACUAUAGAAGAAAGGCUUAGAGAAAGCUGGUGUUACUAGCUUCCUGCCUUACAGGCCUCCAACCGAUGCCUCCAUCUGAGCUUCUGACUCCAUCCCUUGCCCUCUUCUCUCCUCUGGCUCCCACCUGCUUGUCUGUUACUUCCUUCCUCUCAGUCUACAGACACUCUCCAGUCCCCAGCACCUCUUGCAGCUGUGCCCUUUCUCUUCUUAUUUCACGUCCAAACUUUUCAUUCCUUUUGUGGAAUUUGUCUGCUGUUCCCAGUGGUAUAUUGAGACCAGUCUUCCCUAAUCACUAGUGAACCCUUAUCUAACCAAUCCUGUACCUUAUGCUCCUUAACUUACCUGAACUCUUAAGUCUCCCUUCCUUGAAGUUCUCUCUUCUGGCUUUCAAUACACCUCUCUUCCAGAUCUUCUCAUUCUCUAGUGGGUCUUUCUUUGCCUCCUUCAUGGGCUUUUCUUUCUCUUCUGUUUCCUUCUUAAAUGUUGAUUUUCUCCAUAAUCUAAUCCUGGUCUUACAGUUCAUUGUACUCUUCACAUUAUCUUUGGUUGACUUUACAGUCAUGGUGUCAUCUGAUAAUACCCUUAGCUAGCUUUAUCAAAUCUUACUGUUUCUUAGUGGGCUUUCUAGGAAUUAUGUCAUAGGGUUGUUGAUAGGAAUGUAUGAUCUCACUUAGAUUCUUGUCCAUCUGCCCACUUCACCUUUAUCUCAUAUUGGAAGAACAUAGUCACUCUCAAAUCUGUGACAAAAGACCAUCCCCUACCCCCCAAGUCUUGGAGAAUAUAGCUGAGUAGUUUGGAUAGAUAAAGAUAGAACAGAAAUGUGCAAGGCAGAUGAUACAGCUGGAUAAUCCUCACAUAUACAUAUGUCUCCUAAAUGUCAUUUCUCUGGCCUACUUUCUGAGUUUAAAACCAACCCCAUCAGGAUGUGAGGACGAUCUGGCUGCGACAUCUGUCACCCCAUUGAUCACCAGGGUUGGUUCAGCUGAUCUGGCCGGCUAGGUGGGUGUCCCCUUCCUCCUUCACGGCUCCAUGUGUAUCCCUCCAGAAGCUGUAGGUUCAGUCAAAGAGGACCGCCUUCCCCAACAGAGGAGGGCCAUUCUUUGCUCAAGGGCAUACGAGAAGCUGCGCUCCCUGCUAGAACCUCCAGGCAAGCUCUCAAGGCCCAUUUGUAGGAGAACGUAGGGCAGUCAGGUUUCCAAGACUCCAGACACAUGAGGCGCUGCAUGCGGCAGUCUGCUUUUCUUUAAAAACAAAACAAAACAGCCCAGUCCCAUCAGUCCUCUAGUGCCUACUCCUGAUACAUUGUUGUGCUAUCAGUCACCCAGGAAACUGGAAGUCAUCUUUAACCCCUAAGCCAUCUUCACAUUCAUAGCCAUUUGAUUUCCAGGAUAUACCAAUCUUUUCAAAGUCUGCCUGCUCUGCAUUUCCACCAUUAACAGUCCUAAUUUGUGUUCCUGUCCUCUGGAUUAUGAUAUUAGCCUCCUUCCUUGUUCCUUUCCUGCUGUUAUAUCUUCCUCCAGUCCAUCAAACCACUGCCCCAAAUGCAGAGGAAGCGUUUUUAAGGAGCAAAUCUAGUAUAAUUUCUGGGCUUAUAACAUGUAGGAGAGAGUCUGAAAAUGGCAUUUUUCUGAAAAUGGCUCUUUUGUCCUUUUGUGACCUAGGUCUGGUCAUGUGUGUCCUUGGGCUCCCUUCUGGCUGUCCCUGCCCUUCACAGUAUGCACCAG
ensembl:lncRNA